rnacentral:rRNA from 1 species
CCCUUAGAUGCUCUGGGCCGCACGCGCGCUACACUGGUCGAUGCAACGAGUUUCUUUCCUUGGCCGACAGGCCUGGGCAAUCUUUGAACAUCGAUCGUGAUCGGGAUAGAUUCUUGUAAUUUUUGAUCUUAAACGAGGAAUUCCUAGUAAACGCAAGUCAUCAGCUUGCAUUGAUUACGUCCCUGCCCUUUGUACACACCGCCCGUCGCACCUACCGAUCGAAUGGUCCGGUGAAAUCUCCGGGCUGGCGUGAGUCGGAGCAAUCUGACAAACGCCGGAAAGUUGAUUAAACCUUACCAUUUAGAGGAAGGUGAAGUCGUAACA